UCCCUGGUGGUCCAGUAGGUAAAAUCUCUGAGCUUCCAAUGCAAUGGGCCCAGGUUCGAUCCCUGGUCGGGGAA
rnacentral:tRNA from 1 species